CUGGAGUGCAGUGCUGUGAUCUCACUGCAACCUCUGCCUCCCAGGAGAAUCUCUUGAACCUGGGAGGCAGAGGUUGUGGUGAGUUGUGCCACUGCACUCCAGCCUGGGCAACAAGAGCAAAACUCCAUCUCAAAAACAAAAACAAAAACAAAAAACCUAGAUGUUUAUGGUUAAGGAAACAAAUUAAUAAUAAUAAAAAAGAUAAUAUCGAUUCUUACAAAAUACAGUAAUUAAGAAAAUUAAUCCUUUAUCACAAACUUUUGUAGCAGAGCACAUCUCUCCAUAUAUACAAGCAUUAUACCGAGGGUGAAUGUGUUCCUCCUCUUACUUUUUUUUUUUGAGACAGAGUUUUGCCGGGCACAGUGGCUCACGCCUGUAAUCCCAGCACUUUGGAAGGCUGAGGGGGCGGAUCACGAGGUCAAUAGAUGGAGACCAUCCUGGCCAAUAUGGUGAAACCCCAUCUCUACUAAAAACACAAAAAUUAGCUGGGCGUAGUGGUGCGUGCCUGUAGUCCCAGCUACUUGGGAGGCUGAGUAGCUGGGACUACAGGCACACAUCAUUGUGCCCAGCUACUUUUUGUAUUUUUAGUAGAGACGGGGUUUCACCGUGUUGGCCAGGCUGGUCUCGAACUCCUGACCUCAGGUGAUCCACCUGCCUAGGCCUCCCAAAAUGCUGGGAUUACAGGUGUGGUGAGCCACUGCGCCUAGCCCCUCCUCUUACUUUGGGGAACAUCCUACUCUGUCUAUGGAGCAGCUGUUGUUUCACCACUUUACUUUCUUAAUAAACUUGCUUAUACUUUGCACUGCGACUCGCCCUGAAUCUUUCUUGCAUGAGAUCCAAGAACCCUCUCUUGUGGUCUGGAUUGGGACCCCUUUCCUGUAACAAAUGCAUUGGCUGAUAGGAGAAUAAAGAAAAAAAAAGAGGAAAAA
rnacentral:lncRNA from 1 species